rnacentral:rRNA from 1 species
UACAGAGGUCUCAAGCGUUUGUUCGGAUUCAUUGGGCGUAAAGGGUGCGUAGGCGGCGCGGUAAGUCGGGUGUGAAAUCUCGGGGCUUAACUCCGAAACUGCAUUCGAUACUGCCGUGCUUGAGGACUGGAGAGGAGACUGGAAUUUACGGUGUAGCGGUGAAAUGCGUAGAUAUCGUAAGGAAGACCGGUGGCGAAGGCGGGUCUCUGGA